rnacentral:rRNA from 1 species
GACAGAGGGUGCAAACGUUGUUCGGAAUUACUGGGCGUAAAGCGCGUGUAGGCGGCUCGGCAAGUCGGGUGUGAAAGCCCCGGGCUUAACCUGGGAAUGGCGGUUGAAACUGGCGAACUUGAAUCUGGCAGAGGGGGGUGGAAUUCCACGUGUAGCAGUGAAAUGCGUAGAGAUGUGGAGGAACACCGAUGGCGAAGGCAGCCCCCUGGGCUGAGAUUGACGCUCAGGCACGAAAGCGUGGGGAGCAAACAGG